UAAUCAAUUUUUCCUUCAAGAUCGCUUCAUGUUUUAUCCUUUCCAUUGAUUUUGUCUCAACCUCAGAUUUAACCUCAAUUUCUAUCACUUCUUUAUACUCCUCAGCUUUUAGUUCUUUAUCUCUCUUAAGUGGAAGGAUCUCAAUAUUAUCAAUGUUGCUUCUACGAUGUGCUUGCUCAUACAAUCUUCCAAUCAACAAACACUGCUCCACUGUUUGAGGUUGAAACAUUUGCACAUUCACUUGAGUAUCUGUUUUUAGACCAUCCAAAUAUACCCUAACCAAGUGAUCUUCUGUCAAAUUCACUCUUGUUCUAAGCAGCU
rnacentral:lncRNA from 1 species